AAAUAUAGGAAUGUGGAAAAACAACAAUAAUAAAUGCUUUGGCCCUACAUUAUACAAGUAGUGAGACCGUAUUUCAACAUCCCAACUCUUUUUAAGCUUUAGCCCUCUCCUUUUCAAGUGGUAUCUAGAAAUUCUCUCCUCUUUAGCUACAAGGAAAGACUUCCAUAGCAUAAUCAGAGUAAGAGUCAGGUUCUUUAAUUUUGGUAUAGGGUCUUGCAUUCUGCCCUGAUCCUCCUGUGAAUUCUGUGAUGGAGAAAAUAACAAGGACAUGACACAGAUUUGCAGAAUUCAUAUGCAGGAAAGCCAGGGUGGAGGGGAAACACCAUAGAACUGUGUGACUGGCACAAUGCAAUAGUAGUUGAGAAGAAAUGGUGGCAUGGCACAUCUAGGUUGGAGUCUCCUUCAUGCCGGUGAAGAAUGAUGAACAAGGAUGUUCCCUUUGUGCUCAAGAGGGAGCUCAGUGGAGAAACAGACUGGAGAGAUUUUGUGUCUAAAUGGGGCACUAGUAACCUGUGUAGUCAGUAGGUAAAGUCCAGAGAGAAAAGAGACCUCUCAAUGCAUGUCGAAGUAGGUGAUGACAAAUAUUCUGCCAUCCUCCUAUGUCCACUCCAUGUCUCUAGAAACAUGGCAGAUACCCAGAAGGCCCACACCAGUGUAAUAUAUGUGUAAUAACAAUC
rnacentral:lncRNA from 1 species